AACGAACGCUGGCGGCGUGGAUAAGACAUGCAAGUCGAGCGGGAUACUUCGAGUAGCAAUAUUCGGAGUGUUCAGCGGCGCAAGGGUGCGUAACACGUGGGUAAUCUGCCGUGAAGCCUGGAAUAACUCGCUGAAAGGCGAGCUAAUACCGGAUGUGAAGUUUGGAAGGCAUCUUUUGGACUUCAAAGCUGGGGACCGCAAGGCCUGGCACUUCACGAUGAGCCCGCGGCCUAUCAGCUAGUUGGUGAGGUAACGGCUCACCAAGGCUAAGGACGGGUAGCUGGUCUGAGAGGACGACCAGCCUCACUGGAACUGAGAUACGGUCCAGAC
rnacentral:rRNA from 1 species